AGUGAACGCUGGCGGUAGGCCUAACACAUGCAAGUCGAACGGCAGCACAGUAAGAGCUUGCUCUUACGGGUGGCGAGUGGCGGACGGGUGAGGAAUACAUCGGAAUCUACUUUUUCGUGGGGGAUAACGUAGGGAAACUUACGCUAAUACCGCAUACGACCUACGGGUGAAAGCAGGGGAUCUUCGGACCUUGCGCGAUUGAAUGAGCCGAUGUCGGAUUAGCUAGUUGGCGGGGUAAAGGCCCACCAAGGCGACGAUCCGUAGCUGGUCUGAGAGGAUGAUCAGCCACACUGGACCUGAGACACGGUCCAGACUCCUACGGGAGGCAGCAGUGGGGAAUAUUGGACAAUGGGCGCAAGCCUGAUCCGGCCAUACCGCGUGGGUGAAGAAGGCCUUCGGGUUGUAAAGCCCUUUUGUUGGGAAAGAAAAGCAGCAGGUUAAUACCCCGCUGUUCUGACGGUACCCAAAGAAUAAGCACCGGCUAACUUCGUG
rnacentral:rRNA from 1 species